CCCAAGACCCGCUCGGAGCCGAGCCGACCCUCUAGCAGGGGUGCCGCGCGACCCCGAGGCCCCUCCCUGAUCUGGGGCUCGCAGUGUGAGACUUGGGGCAGGGAGCCCCGGGAGGCGAGGCGAAGAUUUGGCCAAGGCCGCCGCCUCAGCCUGGCUCGGGCUUGCUGCGCCCAGCAACCCACCCGAGGCCACGGUGGUGCUCCUCGGCUUGGGGUUUCGAAGGCUUGGGCUGUUUUCAAAUCUGAAGUUCCCAAGCUAGGGAUCCUCGCCGCCAGGGACCACCUCACCACAUCCCCCCACCUCAGGUGACACCCACACCACGGGCCUGGAGGCACAAGCACAACCCCGACUUGGAGACUUCUCGCAAAGUUCCUCUCAGAUAGGCAGGUUUCGCCAUGGAAGGGUGGUGGCAGGAGACGGACCACGCCCUGGGGAACCAGAUGAAGGCCAAGCAGGAUCAAGGUACAGAGCGGGAAUGAAUGCGGAUCCAUCCCAGAGGACGGAGAAGGUAGAUGAGCAUCCUAUUUGCCUCUGAUGCAAACCUGGGACUGGCGACAGUCUGCAAGAGGACUUAUCAGUCAACCUACAGAAGGUUGAAGGUACCACUCUCAACUCACUGCUAUGAGCACCUUACAGUCACUCUUGGUUGGCAAAUCUACUCUGCAUUCAAAAUCUGUGGAGCUGAGUUCUACACCUGUUGGGUGUUUGCUUCAGUGGCCUAGCCUCUGCUUGUGAUUCUCCCUCUGAGUCAAAACUUAUAAGACAAAACAUAUACAAUCCUACACAAAACCUGCAAAAUUCAAGAAAUGAAGAGCCUCUACCUGCAUUUGCUCCAUUUGUAAACGGAUCAACUCCAGCUGCUGCCGACAAGUGCUGAGCUCACAAGAUCGUUCCCGGGGAUGCCAAGGAUCAGAACUAGGCUGCCAUACCUGAGAGGGUAGAGGCUUUGAGAGCCCAGGAGCGGGUUGGAGUCCCAAAGGGAGCAACCCGCUGCUGCUUGGGUGUGGUCCAUUCCGCUCACAUACCACCCCACUGCCUGGUGCUUUCUUGGUCUCAGGCAGCACUUUGUACAGCUCCUUGUUUGUGUCAGUUCUUGGGUUGUGGAAGUGGACUCGGUAGUGGGGAUCCGAAUAAAGUGUCUCCAUCAUGGCUGACUGAUUGAGGGUAGACUCCAUACUGGGAAUAUCAAACUUCCUCACCUCUUCUUCUCUUUCAUGGCCCACUGCUGGAAACCAGGACUGCUCAAUUCCAUUUUCUCCAGCAGCACCACAAAGAUACAUGAAAUCUCUAGAUGGGCCUGGAGAACGUUUCAUUGCACCAAGGUCUCCAUUUCUUGUCAUUCCCACACUUUCAGCCAACCCUGACAAAUGAAGUUUGGAGGAAGAGGGUCCAGCAGGUGUAGAAUUUGGCUUGGCAGAAGAGGUCCCCAAAGUAGAAGGCAUCACAUGGGCUGUUGGAAUGGUUACAUGGCUUUUGAUGGGCUGGAAAGAUGGGCUGCUAUUUGAGCUGCAAAAAUCUGCAGAGAGAAUGGUUAUUCAUAAGUGAAAAUUGAAGCAGCAAUUUUUCUUGAUUUUGGCACUAUGUCAGACAUUCUGUGCCUGUCUGGGAACCAGGUAGAGAGGCCACUAUCAUCAGAAGCUCAGGCAAAAAGACACAGCAGAGCCUAAGUGGGAGAUAAUGUUCUAAAUUGAAUGCCAUUCAAGGUAAACCAAUAAAAGGCAACACUGCACUUUUAACUUAUACUCUGUCCUUUGAAUUUGAAUGAAAAAAAAAUCUUAACAGUCAACCAAAGCUAAAAACUGAACUUAAAAAAAAAUCACUUACUUAAGGGAAAUGGAUUAGGUCCCACUCUUCUGGGAGCUGGACAACACUGAACUAUAAUCCAAUCUAAUAAAUAUGACCUUUCCAAGUGCUGCCAGAAUCCUCUGUGACCUUCAGAAGCUCCCCAAUGGAGGUGAGCGUGGAAUCUAAACUCUCCAAAGAAUAGAGCAAACUGGACAAUGCUCUCUAUAUUCAGGGCAGGGGGUGCAGCAUCUGAAUCAGAGUCUGUUCUCUCUCCCACCAGCCAGAUCAGACUGCCUAGAUAUAUAAAGUUAUUUUUAGUAACUCUCAGGUUUCACUCUAGCACAGUGAGCACUCUUAAGUGGAUACACACUGAAAUCCUCUAUUUUAUAUUUUGCCACUCACCCCCUUGUUUAUAUCCAACUGUGACUUUUCCCUUUUCUUUCAGACUGGAUUUAUGCUUUCUUUAGUUCCUGCCUAGUCUUGGCAGACAACUUCCUGAUUAACCCUAGCACAGAAGUUUCAUUAUUUCUUCAUAUUCCCAAACUUUCAAGUGCUACCCAGAAGAUAAGGUCACAGAACUAAUGUGCUAGGGCAGUGGGCUGCAAGCAAAUAAAAUAGAGUGUGAGGAAACACCUGUUAUCUUCAACAGGCAGAAAACUCAAUAAAAGGGGACAGGGAUUAUAAGUUUUCCUUUUUCAUCUAUAUCCAGUACUUUUUCCAAACCAAGCACAUCCACCAUAGAGAAGGAUGGACUACCAAUUUGUUUCUCUUUUUUCUUUCCAACUACCAACACAACAUACAAAGAAACGUUUAAUAAUCAUGCUCUAUUUUCCCUAACUUCCCUAGCUUAGGCAACCAUUAAACUAUUUUCUGUGUAUACACUGGAUUGGCCUAUUCUGGACAUUUCAUGUAAAUGGAAUCAUAUAAUAAUGUGGUCUUUUGUGUCUGGCUUUUUUUCACUUAGUAUAAGUGAUAAAGUACCAAAGUGAUUUGUUUUGCCUGUUUUUUGUUUUCAUUGAAGUAAAACAUUGAGAUGUGAUUUAUAUGUAUAGAAUCACACCCUUCAGGUGUAUAUUACCACCACACCCCCUACCAAGGCACCAAAGUCCUCCACCAUAGCCCUCUCCCUGCUUUCCCUCCCCACAAAGUGACUAGUUUUGUGACUUUAAUCAACUCAUUUAACAUUCUGAAAUUCAGUUUUCUCAUCCAUAAUAUGGAAACAAUAAAAUGGUCCAUAAUUCUUAAAGGCAUUCAUGAAAUAAUGUAAAAAAAAUUAGCAAAUGUAGCCAUCACAAAAUAUUU